CAGCUAGUCCGUAAGGAUUGAGGCUGGGAAUGGCCAUUGGAGCUGACUUUUAUGAUAACUUUAACUGUGGCUGCAUUAAAUUGCUGUGUGAUGUAACAGUAAAGAAUGUAAUUCAGACAAUUUUUGUGUAUUUUUCAGGAAUUGUAAAUAAUUUUUUACAAAAAAAAAAAAAAAAAAAAUUGUAAAGAUUCUCCAUUUUCAACAAGAUCGGAAGUUGUAGGUUAACUUGUAUUUUUAAUUUGAAUUUUUUUUCCAUUUUAGCCCCUUGGGUUAUUCCAAUAGCUCUGCUAUUGUCCAUUAUUUUCUUGACAUUUUUUUGUUAUGCUUAUGGAUAUUAUGAACUGGGUUUUUGACCUACUUUACAUUUAUUAUUAUGGUCAGUGUCUAGUCAAAAAUACUUCCAGUAGGUUAAGAAUGGAUAAUCUUAAAAGAAAAAGAAAAAACAAAAAGAAAAAAAAACAAAACAAAAAAACAAAUGUUAUCUUAUUGAGCUGGAUAUAUAUGUUGUACAAUUUUUGUUUUUUAUGGUGAGUUUGAAAUGAAGCAUAAAAUCUUUUUUAAGAAUAUUUUGCAAAAGCAUAGUUGAAGAAAAUUUUGGUGAAAAUACAUUGAUUGGUUGAUUUUUGGUGCUAAACACCUCUUUACCCACAAUUGCCCACCAUGGCCCUAUAGGUGAAAACUAAAGUACUAAAUAUGUUAUUGAAAUGUGUUGAACUUUGUUAUUUAAUUAUUUUUUAAUCUUAACUGUGCUAUAUUUUGUUUUUUUGUUAAAUAUAGCAAGAAUGUGGAGUCCUAACAGGGUGAAAUUUUGGGCAAAGGGAAGUAAUACCCCUGUUUAACUCCUCAUAUUUUCGAAAUACCCUCAGAAAUAGGGAAUUUAACUUGUUAUAUACUUUAAUAUUGAUAUUUGUACAAGUUUGGGUUCUUUUUACAUAUCAGAUGUAUACUAUCUAAAAUUUACUAUUAUUUAGAGCUCUGUAAAAAAAAAAAUGUAAACAGAAGUCUAAAUAAUAGAUAUGUAGGGUGGGAGAAAUUAUGGGUCACUACAAAUCAUUUUGUAAAACUUUCAAAAAAGCUGAUUAUUCAAAAGUUCAUCUGAUAUUUUUCAUAUGUAUAACUUUAUUUAGAAAAACAAAUGGACAAAAAAAUAGAUUGACAAUAAGAUGAGGACAGCCUUCUUGGCAGCUUGGAAAACAGCUCUAAGGAAGAUGGUCAAUUAAAUCUUAAACCAAGUCUGAGGCUUUUACCAAGAGAAAUAUUUGGCUGUUCUAAUGUCAAUGUUUUCAUGGUGUUGGGAGUAAGACUUGGAUAUCUGAUACUGUUAAAAUGUUGGUUAGCAUCAGGUUUCCAUAGGGUUACUUGUUGGGGUAGUAAUCAGAGCUGAUUUAGUUGGAAGUGUAACUGUUGCUGCCUUGUUUGGUAAAAUCCUGCAAACCAUCGGAUGAACUGUUGCUAUAUUUUUAGUAGUAUCCGUAGACAGUUGUAAUGAAUUUCUAACAAGUUUUGUUUUUAUUGCUGUAUUGAGUUAUCCAAAUUAUAGAUAUAUUUUUUCACUAUUUUUAUUGUACUGUUAUUGAUGAAAAAUAAAACUGAAAUUAUUUUCAUUUGAAGGGUGCAGAGGUAUGCCAUAUGGUUUGACAAAGUACCCAUAAAACUUACAUUAGUUAACAUUAUUUUUAAGUUCUGUACG